rnacentral:rRNA from 1 species
CGGUGAAUACGUUCCCGGGCCUUGUACACACCGCCCGUCAAGCCAUGGGAGUUGGGGGUACCUAAAGUCCAUCACCGCGAAGGAGUGGCCUAGGGUAAACCGAUGACUGGGGCU